UUGUACACCAACUGUCAAGUCAAAAUAGCUGAGAACUUCAAAAUUGCUCAAGACACAAUAUAUGAAAUGCACCAAAAGUUAUAGUUUUUAUCAUACAGAAUCUUUACAACAAAAGAGUCUCAUCUUUACAAGAAAGACAGAUGAGCACAAUAUCAAGGCAUGUCUCUGUCUCAUAUGCACAAAGUACCUCUCCUUAUACAAGAGUCAACACAAAUCACGGUAACUCCCCUGUCCCUUCACUUGAGCUUCAGUAGCCAUUGGCACAACCAUAAAUAGCCUUUUCCCACCUGGAACACAUAAGAAAGCUAUUCUUGAAUUCCCACCAUGGAGAUCUCAAACAGGACAAUUCUUCACGAACAAGUUUCACCAGCGCCCAUGAUCAUGAAUUUAUGAGACAAACUGGAAAUCUACUCUGACUGAUAUCCAACUAUGCUCAUCCAGGCAUUAUAGUACCCCUGCUACAGCUCAGAUAUGAUUUCCAUAAUCAAGAGGGCUCAGACCAACCAGCUGUCUCAAGCAAGGGUGAACAAAGGGUCUCCAUUUCUUCAGAGGACAGAACCUGCCCAAAGACUUCACUGUGACCCAAGACUUGACUCUCAGUAGCUGAAAGAAGAAAGAGAUAUACUACUCUAGAACUCUUUGGAGGACUAUAAUAAAAAAUAAAUAUCAGA